rnacentral:rRNA from 1 species
AACGAACGCUGGCGGCAUGCCUAACACAUGCAAGUCGAACGAGACCUUCGGGUCUAGUGGCGCACGGUUUCUUAACGCGUGGUAACCUUCCCUUAGGUUCGGAAUAACUCCCCUAAUGGGGUGCUAAUACCGGUUAAUUUCUUCUGACCAAAGAUUUAUCGCCUUUGGAUGGGCCCGCGUUUGUUUAGCUAGUUUGUAGGGUAAAAGCCUACCAAGGCUACGAUACAUAGCUGGGCUGAGAGGAUGAUCAGCCACACUGGGACUGAGAAACGGCACAGACUAGUACGGGAGGGAGCAGAGGGGAAUAGUGGAAAAUGGGCGAAAGCAUGAUACAGCAAUGACGGGUGAGAGAUGAAGGCAUUAGGGUAGUAAAGAUCUUUUAACCGGGAUGAUAAUGACAGUAACGGGAGAAUAAGCACCGGCUAACUACGUG